rnacentral:rRNA from 1 species
UGGGGAAUAUUGGACAAUGGGCGAAAGCCUGAUCCAGCCAUGCCGCGUGUGUGAAGAAGGUCUUCGGAUUGUAAAGCACUUUAAGUUGGGAGGAAGGGCAGUAAGCGAAUACAUUGCUGUUUUGACGUUACCGACAGAAUAAGCACCGGCUAACUCUGUGCCAGCAGCCGCGGUAAUACAGAGGGUGCAAGCGUUAAUCGGAAUUACUGGGCGUAAAGCGCGCGUAGGUGGUUCGUUAAGUUGAAUGUGAAAGCCCCGGGCUCAACCUGGGAACUGCAUCCAAAACUUGCGAGCUAGAGUAGGGCAGAGGGUGGUGGAAUUUCCUGUGUAGCGGUGAAAUGCGUAGAUAUAGGAAGGAACACCAGUGGCGAAGGCGACCACCUGGGCUCAUACUGACACUGAGGUGCGAAAGCGUGGGGAGCAAACAGG